rnacentral:rRNA from 1 species
UACGUAGGGUGCGAGCGUUAAUCGGAAUUACUGGGCGUAAAGGGUGCGCAGGCGGUUUUGUAAGCCAGAUGUGAAAUCCCCGGGCUUAACCUGGGAAUGGCAUUUGGGACUGCAAGGCUGGAGUGCGGCAGGAGGAGACGUGGAAUUCCUGGUGUAGCAGUGAAAUGCGCAGAUAAUCAGGAGGAACACCGAUGGCGAAGGCAGGUCUCGUGG